CAAUGGUGGUCAACAGAGGGAAGCAAGACCGCGAGGUGGAGCAAAUCCCUAAAAGCCAUCCCAGUUCGGAUUGCAGGCUGAAACCCGCCUGUAUGAAGUUGGAAUCGCUAGUAAUCGCGGAUCAGCAUGCCGCGGUGAAUACGUUCCCGGGCCUUGUACACACCGCCCGUCACACCAUGAGAGUCGGGAACACCCGAAGUCCGUAGUCUAACCGCAAGGGGGACGCGGCCGAAGGUGGGUUCGAUAAUUGGGGUGAAGUCGUAACAAGGUACC
rnacentral:rRNA from 1 species